rnacentral:rRNA from 1 species
AACGAACGCUGGCGGCAUGCCUAACACAUGCAAGUCGAACGAUGCUUUCGGGCAUAGUGGCGCACGGGUGCGUAACGCGUGGGAAUCUGCCCUUGGGUUCGGAAUAACAGUGAGAAAUUGCUGCUAAUACCGGAUGAUGUCUUCGGACCAAAGAUUUAUCGCCCAGGGAUGAGCCCGCGUAGGAUUAGCUAGUUGGUGGGGUAAUGGCCUACCAAGGCGACGAUCCUUAGCUGGUCUGAGAGGAUGAUCAGCCACACUGGGACUGAGACACGGCCCAGACUCCUACGGGAGGCAGCAGUGGGGAAUAUUGGACAAUGGGCGCAAGCCUGAGCCAGCAAUGCCGCGUGAGUGAUGAAGGCCUUAGGGUUGUAAAGCUCUUUUACCCGGGAUGAUAAUGACAGUACCGGGAGAAUAAGCUCCGGCUAACUCCGUG